UGCAAACAAACAUUAGUAAAUGAAGAGAGGCUGUGUGAAGGUGUCAACGGUGGCCCACUUGGGAGUCAGUCUCCUUCCUCGGAUCGGCUGUGCAACUUUAGCAUCUUGCAAUAUGC